UACGUAGGGUGCGAGCGUUAAUCGGAAUUACUGGGCGUAAAGCGUGCGCAGGCGGUUUUGUAAGACAGAGGUGAAAUCCCCGGGCUUAACCUGGGAACUGCCUUUGUGACUGCAAGGCUUGAGUGCGGCAGAGGGGGAUGGAAUUCCGCGUGUAGCAGUGAAAUGCGUAGAUAUGCGGAGGAACACCGAUGGCGAAGGCAAUCCCCUGGGCCUGCACUGACGCUCAUGCACGAAAGCGUGGGGAGCGAACAGG
rnacentral:rRNA from 1 species